UUACGGUCAAAUCACGCUGAAAACACCGGUUCUCGUUCGAUCACCGAAGUAAGCAUCGUAGAGCCAGGUCAGUACUUAGAUGGGGACCGCUUGGGAACACCUGGUACUGUAAG
rnacentral:rRNA from 1 species